rnacentral:rRNA from 1 species
GCUAAAGCCGGUCCGGCGGCCGGGGCAAUAGGGGGGGUCGGGUGGUUAAUCUGAAGUACGGGGCGUAAAGCGUGCGUAGGCGGUUUGUUAAGCGAGAUGUGAAAGCCCUGGGCUCAACCUAGGAAUAGCAUUUCGAACUGGCGAACUAGAGUCUUGUAGAGGGGGGUAGAAUUCCAGGUGUAGCGGUGAAAUGCGUAGAGAUCUGGAGGAAUACCGGUGGCGAAGGCGGCCCCCUGGACAAAGACUGACGCUCAUGCACGAAAGCGUGGGGAGCAAACAGGAUUAGAUACCCCAGUAGUC